rnacentral:rRNA from 1 species
GUCGAGAAUUUUUCACAAUGGGCGCAAGCCUGAUGGAGCGACGCCGCGUGGGGGAUGAAUGGCUUCGGCCCGUAAACCCCUGUCAUUUGCGAUCAACCGUUGUUAUUUAAAAGAUGACAGCCUGAUAGUAGCGAAAGAGGAAGGGACGGCUAACUCUGUGCCAGCAGCCGCGGUAAUACAGAGGUCCCAAGCGUUGUUCGGAUUCACUGGGCGUAAAGGGUGCGUAGGUGGCGAGGUAAGUCGGAUGUGAAAUCUCGGAGCUCAACUCCGAAACGGCAUUGGAAACUGCCUUGCUCGAGGGUUGGAGGGGGGACUGGAAUACUUGGUGUAGCAGUGAAAUGCGUAGAUAUCAAGUGGAACACCAGUGGCGAAGGCGAGUCCCUGGACAACUCCUGACACUGAGGCACGAAAGCUAGGGGAGCAAACAGGAUUAGAAACCCCGGUAGUCC